rnacentral:rRNA from 1 species
AUGCACGCUGGCGGCGUGCCUCAUACCUGCAAGUCGCGCGCACGGACGAGAAGCUUGCUUCUCUGAUGUUAGCGGCGGACGGGUGAGUAACACGUGGAUAACCUACCUAUAAGACUGGGAUAACUUCGGGAAACCGUAGCUAAUACCGGAUAAUAUUUUGAACCGCAUGGUUCAAAAGUGAAAGACGGUCUUGCUGUCACUUAUAGAUGGAUCCGCGCUGCAUUAGCUAGUUGGUAAGGUAACGGCUUACCAAGGCAACGAUGCAUAGCCGACCUGAGAGGGUGAUCGGCCACACUGGAACUGAGACACGGUCCAGACUCCUACGGGAGGCAGCAGUAGGGAAUCUUCCGCAAUGGGCGAAAGCCUGACGGAGCAACGCCGCGUGAGUGAUGAAGGUCUUCGGAUCGUAAAACUCUGUUAUUAGGGAAGAACAUAUGUGUAAGUAACUGUGCACAUCUUGACGGUACCUAAUCAGAAAGCCACGGCUAACUACGUG